UACGUAGGGUGCAAGCGUUAAUCGGAAUUACUGGGCGUAAAGCGUGCGCAGGCGGUGAUGUAAGACAGAUGUGAAAUCCCCGGGCUCAACCUGGGAACUGCAUUUGUGACUGCAUCGCUAGAGUACGGCAGAGGGGGAUGGAAUUCCGCGUGUAGCAGUGAAAUGCGUAGAUAUGCGGAGGAACACCGAUGGCGAAGGCAAUCCCCUGGGCCUGUGACUGACGCUCAUGCA
rnacentral:rRNA from 1 species